GACGAACGCUGGCGGCGUGCUUAACACAUGCAAGUCGAACGGAAAGGCCCUGCUUUUGUGGGGUGCUCGAGUGGCGAACGGGUGAGUAACACGUGAGUAACCUGCCCUUGACUUUGGGAUAACUUCAGGAAACUGGGGCUAAUACCGGAUAGGAGCUCCUGCUGCAUGGUGGGGGUUGGAAAGUUUCGGCGGUUGGGGAUGGACUCGCGGCUUAUCAGCUUGUUGGUGGGGUAGUGGCUUACCAAGGCUUUGACGGGUAGCCGGCCUGAGAGGGUGACCGGCCACAUUGGGACUGAGAUACGGCCCAGACUCCUACGGGAGGCAGCAGUGGGGAAUAUUGCACAAUGGGCGGAAGCCUGAUGCAGCAACGCCGCGUGCGGGAUGACGGCCUUCGGGUUGUAAACCGCUUUCGCCUGCGACGAAGCGUGAGUGACGGUAAUGGGUAAAGAAGCACCGGCUAACUACGUGCCAGCAGCCGCGGUGAUACGUAGGGUGCGAGCGUUGUCCGGAUUUAUUGGGCGUAAGGGCUCGUAGGUGGUUGAUCGCGUCGGAAGUGUAAUCUUGGGGCUUAACCCUGAGCGUGCUUUCGAUACGGGUUGACUUGAGGAAGGUAGGGGAGAAUGGAAUUCCUGGUGGAGCGGUGGAAUGCGCAGAUAUCAGGAGGAACACCAGUGGCGAAGGCGGUUCUCUGGGCCUUUCCUGACGCUGAGGAGCGAAAGCGUGGGGAGCGAACAGGCUUAGAUACCCUGGUAGUCCACGCUGUAAACGGUGGGUACUAGGUGUGGGGUCCAUUCCACGGGUUCCGUGCCGUAGCUAACGCUUUAAGUACCCCGCCUGGGGAGUACGGCCGCAAGGCUAAAACUCAAAGGAAUUGACGGGGCCCCGCACAAGCGGCGGAGCAUGCGGAUUAAUUCGAUGCAACGCGUAGAACCUUACCUGGGUUUGACAUGGAUCGGGAGCGCUCAGAGAUGGGUGUGCCUCUUUUGGGGUCGGUUCACAGGUGGUGCAUGGCUGUCGUCAGCUCGUGUCGUGAGAUGUUGGGUUAAGUCCCGCAACGAGCGCAACCCUUGUUCACUGUUGCCAGCACGUUAUGGUGGGGACUCAGUGGAGACCGCCGGGGUCAACUCGGAGGAAGGUGGGGAUGACGUCAAGUCAUCAUGCCCCUUAUGUCCAGGGCUUCACGCAUGCUACAAUGGCUGGUACAGAGAGUGGCGAGCCUGUGAGGGUGAGCGAAUCUCGGAAAGCCGGUCUCAGUUCGGAUUGGGGUCUGCAACUCGACCUCAUGAAGUCGGAGUCGCUAGUAAUCGCAGAUCAGCAACGCUGCGGUGAAUACGUUCCCGGG
rnacentral:rRNA from 1 species